rnacentral:rRNA from 1 species
AUUGAACGCUGGCGGAAUGCUUUACACAUGCAAGUCGAACGGCAGCACGGGAGCUUGCUCCUGGUGGCGAGUGGCGAACGGGUGAGUAAUAUAUCGGAACGUAUCCAAUAAUGGGGGAUAACUAGUCGAAAGAUUAGCUAAUACCGCAUACGCCCUGAGGGGGAAAGCUGGGGAUCUUCGGACCUAGCGUUAAUGGAGCGGCCGAUAUCUGAUUAGCUAGUAGGUGAGGUAAAAGCUCACCUAGGCGACGAUCAGUAGCUGGCCUGAGAGGACGACCAGCCACACUGGAACUGAGACACGGUCCAGACUCCUACGGGAGGCAGCAGUGGGGAAUUGUGGACAAUGGGCGCAAGCCUGAUCCAGCCAUUCCGCGUGAGUGAAGAAGGCCUUCGGGUUGUAAAGCUCUUUCGCAAGGGAAGAAAACUUAACCUCUAACAUAGGUUGAGGCUGACGGUACCUUGAUAAGAAGCACCGGCUAACUACGUGCCAGCCGCCGCAGUAA